rnacentral:rRNA from 1 species
CCUACGGGAAGCAGCAGUGGGGAAUAUUGCACAAUGGGGGAAACCCUGAUGCAGCGACGCCGCGUGAGUGAAGAAGUAUUUCGGUAUGUAAAGCUCUAUCAGCAGGGAAGAAAAAAGACGGUACCUGACUAAGAAGCCCCGGCUAACUACGUGCCAGCAGCCGCGGGAAUACGUAGGGGGCAAGCGUUAUCCGGAUUUACUGGGUGGAAAGGGAGCGUAGACGGCGCGGCAAGUCUGAAGUGAAAGGCAGGGGCUUAACCCCUGAACUGCUUUGGAAACUGCCAUGCUAGAGUGCUGGAGAGGUAAGUGGAAUUCCUAGUGUAGCGGUGAAAUGCGUAGAUAUUAGGAGGAACACCAGUGGCGAAGGCGGCUUACUGGACAGUAACUGACGUUGAGGCUCGAAAGCGUGGGGAGCAAACAGGAUUAGAUACCCCAGUAGUC